UACGAAGGGGGCUAGCGUUGUUCGGAAUCACUGGGCGUAAAGCGCUCGUAGGCGGAUCUUUAAGUCAGAGGUGAAAUCCCAAGGCUCAACCUUGGAACUGCCUUUGAUACUGGGGAUCUCGAGUCCGGGAGAGGUGAGUGGAACUGCGAGUGUAGAGGUGAAAUUCGUGGAUAUUCGCAAGAACACCAGUGGCGAAGGCGGCUCACUGGCCCGGUACUGACGCUGAGGAGCGAAAGCGUGGGGAGCAAACAGG
rnacentral:rRNA from 1 species